UUGUCAAAUGCUCCUGGUUCUCAGUUUAGAGCAGGUAUUACUUACGUUGCAAAGGAAGGUGAAACUAUCUAUGGAGCAAUGGGAAGAUAUAAUGUUUGGAAUCCUAGCACAAAACAAGACCAAUUUACUUCAGGAGAAAUGGCUGUUCAAUUUAAUGAGGAGAAUCAGACCACUGUCAUCAAAGUCGGAUGGACUGUGAAUCCCCAGCUGUACGGUGAUAACUUAACUAGAGCUUUUAUAUACUGG